rnacentral:rRNA from 1 species
GAUGAACGCUGGCGGCGUGCUUAACACAUGCAAGUCGAACGAAGCUGCUUAAAGGAAGUCUUCGGAUGGAAUUUAGGUAGACUUAGUGGCGGACGGGUGAGUAACGCGUGGAUAACCUGCCUUAUACAGGGGGAUAACGGAGAGAAAUUUCCGCUAAGACCGCAUAAGACCACAGCACCGCAUGGUGCAGGGGUAAAAUAUUUAUAGGUAUAAGAUGGAUCCGCGUCCGAUUAGCUAGUUGGUGAGGUAAAGGCCCACCAAGGCGACGAUCGGUAGCCGGCCUGAGAGGGUGAACGGCCACAUUGGGACUGAGACACGGCCCAAACUCCUACGGGAGGCAGCAGUGGGGAAUAUUGGACAAUGGGGGAAACCCUGAUCCAGCGACGCCGCGUGAGUGAAGAAGUAUUUCGGUAUGUAAAGCUCUAUCAGCAGGGAAGAAAAUGACGGUACCUGACUAAGAAGCCCCGGCUAACUACGUGCCAGCAGCCGCGGUAAUACGUAGGGGGCAAGCGUUAUCCGGAUUUACUGGGUGUAAAGGGAGCGCAGACGGCAAUGCAAGUCUGAAGUGAAAGGCGUGGGCUCAACCCAUGAACUGCUUUGGAAACUGUAUAGCUUGAGUGUCGGAGGGGUAAGCGGAAUUCCUAGUGUAGCGGUGAAAUGCGUAGAUAUUAGGAGGAAACACCGGAGGCGAAGGCGGCUUACUGGACGACAACUGACGUUGAGGCUCGAAGGCGUGGGGAGCAACAGGAUUAUAUACCCUGGUAGUCCAAGGGCGAAUUUCAUAGCGGAUAUCAAGCUUAUCGAUACCGUCGACCUUCGAGGGGGGGCCCGGCACCCGCUUUUUUUCUCUUUAGUGAGGCUUAUUACCU